GCAGCAGGUCUCCUCCCCUUGUUAAAAUUUGUACUUUGUGGAUACCCAUGGAUCUUGAAACACUUAUCAAUUAAGUGUCCAGAUUUUUUACAGUAUCUAUAGAAUAAAGGUCCUUUGGCUUGAUCAAAAUUGACUCUCUGUCUGAAAGGAGAAGGAGGAAUAGAUAGUGUGGCCUUGUUAAAUCCAACAGACUGCCUAUUAGUAUGGACAUUAAAAGAGAUUGAGUCUGGAUUAAAAUGAGAAGGAGACUGGACUUGUCUUUGCUUCUCAUCAUUGAGGAUAUAUUAUAGACAUUGUCAAGAGUUGGAGGAGGCUGCAUCUGUUGGAAACACGUUCUCAAUGCAAUAUACUAAAACGUGUAAUCUUUUGUAGGUUUUGAUGAAUGACAAACGAAGCGAAAAUUGAUAUAUGACGAAGUUCAAGAA
rnacentral:lncRNA from 1 species